rnacentral:rRNA from 1 species
AUUGAACGCUGGCGGCAGGCCUAACACAUGCAAGUCGAGCGAGCGGCGGACGGUUGAGUACUGUCUGGGAAACUGCCUGUUGGCGGGGGAUAACUACUGGAAACGGUAGCUAAUACCGCAUACCAUCAGAUGUGCCCAGAUGGGAUUAGCUAGUAGGGGGGGUAACGGCUCACCUAGGCGACGAUCCCUAGCUGGUCUGAGAGGAUGACCAGCCACACUGGAACUGAGACACGGUCCAGACUCCUACGGGAGGCAGCAGUGGGGAAUAUUGCACAAUGGGCGAAAGCCUGAUGCAGCAAUGCCGCGUGUGUGAAGAAGGCCUUCGGGUUGUAAAGCACUGUCAGCGGGGAGGCGUUACCCGCAGAAGAAGCACCGGCUAACUACGUGCCAGCAGCCGCGGUAAUAC